GAAGACCAUAGUUGUCGUACUUUGACAUCUACAAAACGGGAGAAAAAAAAUUCAAGUUAGUUGAUUGAUUGAGUCCUUAAUAAAUCACCCAAAUGAGAUAUUAAGGCUAGGACCCAACACAAUACGCUACAACCUAGAAAAGGGAUGUCGUAAUCUAGUUGCAGAAUAUUUGAAGGUAAGUGAAUGACGAUUCACUAAUUUCCACCAUGAAAAACGAAAAAGAAAUUUAAGUUUUAAAUCUAUGAAAACUCCUAGAUCCUUUGAGAUUCAUUGAACAUUUCAAUGGCAUGUUUAAAUCUCGAUAUGCCCCUCUUGUUUGUGACUGGGAUGCCGAGGAUCACAAAGCGGGUGUGAAUAACCAUGCAAACUUACAUGGUGCCCUCACAUGUUACAGUCACCUAUUCGAUGUGCCGGUAAACCACACACGCUCCACCAAACUAUGACAAACAUUGAGUCACCCUUUGCUACCUUUGCUUAGAACCAUUUAGUGUGCCGGUAAACCACACACGCUCCACUAACGUCUUCGCAAGGGCACAAAGUGUAAUUUCAUGGAAUUGCAUCAAUUCACUUUUGCCUAAGUAACUAAGAUUGGGAAUUUUAUGAAAACAUUUAGUUACUUUUAUACUUCAUUAUACUUAUAAUGGAAGGUUUCGUCCUAUCCUACCCGUUCGGCUAACGACCCUCCACUAGUCAAGAGUGCGGUGGGUAAGAGUGGAUACCCAUUCAAUCGCCAUUUUAUAGGCAAUUUCCUUAAACACCCCUUAUAGACCAGCUUCGUGAAUGAGGCCUACUAACGGUAAGACUGACUUUUACUCAUACAUAUAUAUAAUGUUAGACUUUUAAUGUUAUAUAUAGUAUAGGGUGUAUUUUACACUUUUAAAAUACUAGGUGGUCAAAUUUAACAAUUAUACUUUUAAUUCAAUUAAAUUGUAAACCUAAACUUUUAUGGAUUUAUUAAACCUCUUUUAAUUAUACACCUUAAUUAAUUAAUAAAACCAUAAGGGUGUGAUUUGAACUUUUUCAAAACAAUACUAGAGUUUUAGAAUUUAACAUUCCUAAUUAAACUUUUAAUCAACUUUUAAAUUCCAAAACUUGAGGGCAAGUUUUGAAACAUUUCAACACAUUAGGGUUUAGAAUUUAAAUAUACAUCAAAAUUAAACUAUUUAAUCAAAAUUUAAAUUCCAAAACUUGAGGGCAAGUUUUGAAACCUUUUUCAAAACAUUAGGGUUUCAACUAUUUAAAUUUCAAAACAACAAAACUUUUGGGUUCAAAUUUAAACUAUAAAACCUAAAGGGGAAAAUAUGAAACUUUUCAUAACAACAAGGAUCAAAUAACAAAUAAUUUAAAUUAACAUUUAAUCACAUAAUUAUCCAUAUUUGAUUUAUUUAAUGAUUUCUUGCAAAACAAUUUAUCAAUUUAGUCAAAAUAAUUAAUCAAUUAUCACAUAAGGAAACAAUUAUCUUAUUAAUUGAUAAAUAUCUUCAAUUAGAUCAAAAAUAUAGUCAAAUAUAUCAUAUAAUCGGAUUAAUAUUGAUCUAACAUGAUAAGGUAACUAUCCAUAAGCAAAAACAGCAAGAAAUCCCGAAGUACCCUCCAUCUGACGAGUUGACUCGUCGAGUCAGCCUUGGACUCGUCGAGUCACCUUGGACUCGGCGAGUUCAGCCAUGGACUCGGCGAGUCCAGCCUCCAGAAACCCAAAAAACGAAUUUUCCAGUUAUACAAUGCAUCAAUACAAUUGAAACCAAGCUAGGCUCUGAUACCACUGAUGGGUUUUGGUCAUAAGACAUCCUAUGUGCUCAUACAAACCCUAAUGCUUGGAUCUAGGUUUCUCUAUUGUACAUGCUUUGAAUCCAAGACUAUAAACCCUAAUUCUAGCAUAUGGAAAUCAAUAUUAACAUAUAAUUAGGUUUAAGAUAUUACCUUGAUUGUUAUGUAGCAAUAACAAUCCCAAUUCCUCCUUGAAUUGACUUUGGAAGGCUUAGAGUCACAAGUGUCACUCCUCUAAUGGCUUACAAACACCAUAAGCAAGAGGAUGAAGAGGAGAGAGGUUAGAGGCUGCCCAAAACGUGUUCUAACCCUAGAAAAGAAGUUCCCCACGUUUUUGAGCCUUAAGGGUUCUAUUUAUAGUGAGGCUAUUAGGGUUAUCUAACAAGGAAACCCUAAUUUGGUUGCUUAAGCCCUAAGCAACCCAUAGACUCCUUUAAUCAAGCCCUUGGACGAUUUCCUUAUGGGCUUCCCAUAAGAAUUCGUCCACCUCUUGAUUUAAGACAAUCCAUGGCCCAAAUUGCAAUUAUCUUAUAAUUACAAUUCCAGUCCCUUAAGUUUAAUUAAUCUCUUUUAGUCACAAAACUAAUUACCAAUUAAUUAUUGACUAAUAUUAAUUAAACAAUAUGAUUUCUCCUUUAAUAUAUUAUUCUCAUAAUAUAUUAAUAAAUCAUAUUUAAUCCUUUCUCUCCAUAAUUCAUCCUAUCAAGUUGCUUUGGUGAAGGCAACCCAAAAGGACCAUGCACCAUCGGGUCAAGUACAUACCAAAAUAGUUAUGGACUUAGACACUAAUCCAACAGUCUCCCACUUGGAUAAGUCUAAUAACUAUUCUGCGUAUGACUUCAGAUCCUGAUCUGCAAUCGUAGCUUUCCAAAGCCGCUGUCAACUCUGAUCCUAUCAGAUACGCGUGUCCUUAGAUAAGGGAUCAUAUAUUCCUCCAUUCUAGAUAUCAUAUGAGAUAUGAUUUCAAAUCAUUCUCUUUGUACUAUAUCUCGAUUCCCGAUUUAUGACGACUGACUAAUUGAACAAAUCAAAUUAGCCCUAGCCCGGCCGAGCAUUUACGUUUGUCAUCACUAAAUCAUCGAGGGGCCCAAAGAUAUCGCUUUUAUCCUACUUUGGAUAAAAGGAACGGAUAAACUUUGAUACAAUGCUUGCUUGCACUCACUCACCGAAUCACACACAACAAUAUGUUUUAUAACACCAAGUUACUAGUGCGUUUACAUAUUAUCAAUGUGCAACCGAUUUGCAAGAUACAACUCACACAUCUCGGUUUCAAGAAUAUAAGAUGUUAUCGUCUCACCAAUCACUCGUGAUACAAUUCAUGGAGUGAUCCAAGUGAGCGUGGGUUUAAUCCAAUGCUCAAAUCAUAUUCAUAAGCACUCAUGAACGUUGCAGCAAACAUUUGCUUAUGUCUAAUACUCUUUAGACAAUCCACACACCAAUUCACGACAGUCUUCAUUCAUACCUACUUCCAACAUAUGAACGACUGUGGCCCGUUCGAAUAAUUUGACUGUUCUUAACCAAUUAAAUUAUUCAGGAAGUCAAAACAUGCAAAGUGAAACACAAGAAUAAUACUAAUCCCAUAUGGCCUCAAACCUUUGAGUAUAAAUAAAACACCUUUUAUUUAUCACCAUAUCGAUUACUCAUUAUUUGUCGUUUCGGGUAAUCAACUUCUUACUUGAAUUAUUACACUUGUCCCAUGCUCCUAGCAUGCACACAAUGUUUACCUAUGGUUCUUACUUUGUGAAAUAGAUCAAAUUGAACACAUUUCCAAUCAUUCUCAUUUCACAACUCCAAAUCCUUUUUCAUAAGUGAAAGAAUAUCAAAUUCUUGCUACUUAUAGAAUAUGCUAGAUUCUAACAUUUUAUGCAAUGAUCUCUUUUGUAAUGUCACUGCACCAAAGUCACAAAGACUAUUGCCAAUGAUAUUACAAAGUCCUCUAUCGGAGAUUGUUACAAGACAAUUCCUUAGAUAUGAUGUCUCUCACUCAAAGUACAUUCCUUUGAACAUCCUUUUGCAUAAAAGUUUCUAAUCUAGACAUAGAUUUUCAAUAUUCAAUUCCCAAUAUGGACACGUUUCCAUAUUUUCCAUAUGACAACUCAUUCUUAAUAGAAUCUUAUCUAUUCAUAAUAAUGUCGAUAUGGUCCAUCCAAUAUGGAAACAUUUCCAUAUUUUCCAAUACUAUACUUCCAACUACUCACAAGCGACCAAUCCUCGUCGAACUUUGGAUUGUCCUUUGAUAGUUGUUUAAUUAUUUUAGUCAAAACCGAUUCUAGUCCUUUUUCCCUCUAAAUGCGCUAGACAUUUGGAAAAUUUUAGAAUGGUCAAACAUUAAAGCAUUUGCAAUCGAUCCUAUACCCGAAGCGUAUGGGACACGACGCAUAAUGUUUUAUUUGCUAUGUUCUCAAAAUUCGAAUUGUGAAGAGGAAUGUCGUAAUCAUAAUCGAAAUUUUAAGAACACACUAUGUACCUUUGACUAAAUUUAUUAACAUUUCUCAACCUAAUCCUUUAGAUUUGAAAUGAAGCAUAAUAUUCUCUCCCUUAAUUAUAGCAAAACAACUUUUCAACUCUUACAACUUUGCAAAGUAUGACUCUUGUUUUCUAUAAUUAAUAUUGCUAACCUUGCAAUACUUUCCUUAAUAAUCAUACAAUCAUAACUUUUAUGCUCCCACUAUCAUGAUGAUUAUUAUAAAACAUAACACUUAUGCUCCCACUAGCUUCGACAUGUAUUCAUAAACAUCUUAACUUUCAGAAAAACAAUGCUUAUUGAAUUUCUUAAGUUCAUGUUUCUAAUACUUAGUGCUUUGAUAAUCUUUUAUCAAGGCUUCUUGAACUUAUACACCUUUGCCUUCGAUAGUUCAUAUGUGUGUCUAAACAAUUAAGACUAAUUGCCAAACCUCACAAUUCAAAUUAUGGAAAGGGAUACCGUAACCAUAAUCGAAUUCGAGAAUGCAAUUUUACAAUCACUAUCUUCUUAAAAUCUUUCUUAGUGAAAGCAUUUCCUCACAAUCAUUUUCAUGAAGGAGGAAAUCUUAUGACACUUAGAUUUAAACGGUGUAUGUGUUCCUAUCCAUGUGAAUUUGUUAAAACCAAAGUUUACGACAAAUUCAAACUCAUAUGGACCGAACUUUCUUAAUCUUGAUUUCUUGCCUUAUGGUAGCACAGCUGCCCACCAUGUCUUCCAAGUAGUUAAGCAGCUCACCCUUUCCUAUCAAUGUACCUUUCAUUGAUUAAGGUGCUUUGCCUUUUAUGCGUUCAAAAUGAGAACUCAUAGAACUCACAUGCAUAAUUAACUCGAUUGGAUUGGCACAGAAUCAAAAUAAUGUCAACACGAUAGGUUGUAAACCUCAACUCGUGUGCUAGUGAUGAUCGAUAAGGUUUAUUUGAUUUGUUCUUGAAACCUUUCAAGACCAUUAAGACUCCCACUGACUCCUUGACAUAUAAGAUUCUCUUGUCAAUAACCAUUUCUUGACAAACAAAUAUUCAAGAGUUAGUGUAGCUUUUAUCAAAACACUUCAUAAAUUGGUCCUAGUUGGUCUUUGUCUUAUCCAAGACAUCACAACUUUCCACAUUUGAUGAAAGUUAUAAACCUUCUUAAUACCUUUCACUCAAUGUCACAAUCUUAACUUUAAGACUUGUUAUUGGAACGAAGUAUGAUUGACUUAUUGAUUUAACCAUUUCUUCAAUUCUUGAUUCCUCUUCUUAGACAUACAAUUGUACUAAGACUCACUUAGAGGAUCAAUUGAGAUAUGGUUCUUAAUCAUUAAGACCUAUCAUAAAGCAUAAAAGGUACUCUCCCUUCUUCUUAGAAUGGAGAAACUUUUAUCUUUCUGCCUACUUGAUUCUUCUUAUUCGUUCUGCUAUUGAUUUAAACCUUUUCAAUCAAUUCAGAAUUACACUUAAUCUUAUAAGUAUAAUCAUAUUUACUAAACCUUUAGUAAAUCAUGACGAAUAUCUUUGUUACUCUUAUGGUGGACUUGAUCAACACGCAACUUUGUGUACUCGAUCUCCUAGUCCUUCACUUGACACUUUGUCAAUGAAUUAGUCUAAUUUCCAAAUAUGAAAUUUCUCAUUCAUCGUGCAACCAAGUUGCAUGAUUCCAAGUUUCUGUCCAAUUGAAACUUGGGCGAUGAGAAACUCUCCCUAUUUGGUAAAUUCUCGACUUUCCAUAAAUAACAUAAUAAGAACCAAAUCCAUUAUUGCUAAUAAUAGAAACAUUUUAACAUCAAUUUUUCAUACACGCCAUUGUAAGGAUAAAUAAAUAAAAUUUAAAAUCAAAAUUUAUUUUAUUGCGGAAAAAUUUGUCCUUACAAUGCAAUUCAUUGAAAAACUAUGCUAAUACAUCUUUCUUAGCAAUCUAAUUCUAACUCUAAGUAGUAGCUCAAGAAUCUAAUCUUCGAGAAAUGCGAUCGAAAUCCAUUCCUUCACGGUUAGAUUCUGCUCACUUCUUCCCUUAAGCUUCCUUUCUUUUCUUCGAUCCUACAAAACAUCAAUUGUAAUCUUAUCACAUUAUGUAUUAAGAAUCUAGAAUAGAAGCUUAAAAGAGUUAGUUAAUGGAUUUUACCUAUAUUAGAGCCAUACGUUUCGACUCUCCCAUCUCUUAGAUCUCUUAGGUAAAUGGGGCAGCUUCGUCUCCAAUGCCCUUUCUCUUGGCAAUAAAAGCAAAUUGACUCUUUUGGAACAUGACAUGGAACUACUUCAGACAUUGCCUUUCUCUUAUGAUCAAACUUUUCGAUCAUAGCAUGUCUUUCGUUGCCAUUGUCUAUAUCCAUAGAGGUCUUGAAGGCAGAUUCACCAAUCAACUUUGCUUUUCUAUUGCGCCAAACCAUUGCUGAUUCAGCAGCAAUAAGCAUAUAGGUGAGAUCUAUAAGGGUCACGUCGCAGUUCAUCAUAUAGUACUCUCUUACGAACUCACUAUAUGAGUUAGGAAGUGACUGAAGAACCCAAUCAACAGCCAUUUCCUCACAGACAACGGAUCCCAACAUUCUUAACCUAUCAAUGUGUGACUUCAUCCCUAGGACGUGUGCACACACCGACUUUCCUUCUUUAUGUUUACUUGCCAAAAGGGCUUGAGUGAUCUUGAACUUUUCAAGCCUUUGAACUUGUGGGUUAGGGAGAAUAAUUGGAGGAGGUGGAGGAAGUGAAGCAUGAUUUCUUGUUCCUCGAUCGAAUCGUGGAAUAUCAUCUUCAUGUGGAAUGCUUGUUCCACGGGAUUUGGGAAGACCAUAGUUGUCGAACUUUGACAUCUACAAAACGGGAGAAAACGAAUUCAAGUUAGUUGAUUGAUUGAGUCCUUAGUAAAUCACCCAAAUGAGAUACUAAGGCUAGGACCCAACACAAUAUUCUACAACUCGGGAGAGGGAUGCCGUAACCCAAAUUGCAGAACAUUUGAAGGUAAGUGAAUGACGAUUCACUAAUUUCCACCAUGAAAAACGAAAAAGAAAUUUAAGUUUUAAAUCUAUGAAAACUCCUAGAUCCUUUGAGAUUCAUUGAACAUUUCAAUGGCAUGUUUAAAUCUCGAUAUGCCCCUCUUGUUUGUGACUGGGAUGCCGAGGAUCACAAAGCGGGUGUGAAUAACCAUGCAAACUUACAUGGUGCCCUCACAUGUUACAGUCACCUAUUCGAUGUGCCGGUAAACCACACACGCUCCACCGAACUAUGACAAACAUUGAGUCACCCUUUGCUACCUUUGCUUAGAACCAUUUAGUGUGCCGGUAAACCACACACGCUCCACUAACGUCUUCGCAAGGGCACAAAGUGUAAUUUCAUGGAAUUGCAUCAAUUCACUUUUGCCUAAGUAACUAAGAUUGGGAAUUUUAUGAAAACAUUUAGUUACUUUUAUACUUCAUUAUACUUAUAAUGGAAGGUUUUGUCCUAUCCUACCCGUUCGGCUAACGACCCUCCACUAGUCAAGAGUGCGGUGGGUAAGAGUGGAUACCCAUUCAAUCGCCAUUUUAUAGGCAAUUUCCUUAAACACCCCUUAUAGACCAGCUUCGUGAAUGAGGCCUACUAACGGUAAGACUGACUUUUACUCAUACAUAUAUAUAAUGUUAGACUUUUAAUGUUAUAUAUAGUAUAG
rnacentral:lncRNA from 1 species